CUACGGGGGGCUCCAGUCGGGAAACUUCUACAAUGCGCGCAAGCGUGAUAGAGCAAGCCAGAGUGAUUCUCUAAUAAUUGAGCAUCUUUUGCCAGAUCUAAAAAUUCUGGCGAAUAAGGACUGGGUAAGACUGGUGCCAGCCGCCGCGGUAAUACCAGCAGUCCAAGUGGCAGCCGCUUUUAUUGGGUCUAAAACAUCCGUAGCUCGCUUAGUAAGUCUCUUGUGAAAUCUGGCCUCUCAAGGGUCAGGCAUGCAAGAGAAACUGCAAAGCUAGAGACCGGGAGACGUAAGGAGUACGCAUCGGGUAGUGGUCAAAUACGUUGAUCCGAUGUGGACUAACGAUAGCGAAGGCACCUUACGAGAACGGAUCUGACAGUCAGGGAUGAAGGCUAGGGGCGCAAAACGGAUUAGAUACCCGCGUAGUC
rnacentral:rRNA from 1 species